rfam:Myotis davidii contig198334, whole genome shotgun sequence.
CAUGCACCAGUGGGGUCCCUCUGCCUGGCUUGUGGGAUUGGACCAAAACUGGCUCUCCGACAUCCCCCAAGAGGUCCCAGAUUGCGAGAGGGUACAGGCCAGGCUGAGGGACCCCACUGGUGCACG